GCACGCAGUUCUCCAGUUUGAGUGUCCUGAGGUUUGGGCAGUUCUUGAGGAGAAGCAAGAUGCAAUCAUCUGUAAUGUGGCCACAUCCUGACAGCGUCAGAGACAGCAGGUUUGGACAUCUGAAAACAUGAUGGUUGCAGGAGCUGCAUGGUGCUGUGCUUCUCCAAGUGUGGCAAAGGAAGACCCAGCAGGGACGAAAUGUAAGUCAGGAUGGACUGGAGGACAAGAGUGAAGAGGCUGCUGUGCGCACAUGCUGAGCGUGGGCAAGAAACACAUUCCUGCUUUUGAUUUUACAGGGAUUAAUGGGUGUGUUUCAGCUCCUUGGGUUUCCUGAAUUAGGUGCCAGCCACUACCUGAGAGUGUUGAUGUUUGAACCCCACACAAUUCUUCAACCUUCCUUUAAAUCAUUGAAACUGGUAAGAACUCUGCUGCUAAACAGUGACACAGCAAACAAGCUUUUACUUUGUUGUUACUUGGGUAGAUCUGGGAAAGCGCAGAAAGAGCCUGUUCCAAGUCGGUGUGUAAUGACUUAUACUGACUGUCCUUGUGCGGGAAACUGGAGCAGACCAGUUAUUACCCGCUGUUGUGCUGACUAGAAAUGUUUGCGAGGAUGCUUGUGCACCCACCUGCAAGGCCUUUAGCACAGAGUUUGGUGUCUGGCUUACCCCUCUGCAGGGAGCAGCAGCUCAGCUGAGCUGGCCAUUAGCUCAGUGCAGCUUAUUGUCUCUCUGAUGGCUCAGGACUUCAUUAGACUCUGUCUUGUGAGGAAAACUGAUGGCAGCAACGCUGCUGACCUUGUGGGACCUUUGUACAGAACUCUCAGCCCACAUCCCUCCUGCAGGAGCUGAUUUGUGCUCAGCCAGUGCUGGGUUUGGGGUGCACGGCAGCAGCGGGGGGAACAAGGGGCUGGGCCAGCACUGCAGCAUGUGUGCUGCUUAAAAACUCCUACGUGAAACAUUCCUCUUUCUCCACACCCCCUGCAGCCCCCAGCUGCUGCCUGACUUCACCUUCUGAGCAACAUCAUGUCAGCUGCAUGACCUUCUUUUUCUUUACUGUUUUCCUUUACACUUAUGAACAGUUAGAAAAACAAGUGUUUUAAAGUAGGCAAGGUCAUGAAAGGCUCUGACCUGCCAUCUCCUGUGGCUUCAUUCUCUGCACAGAACGCUGUUUUGUUCAGAUGGAAAUACUUUCAAUGGGUUGCUGCAAAAAAUAAAAGGCAGUAACUUGUCUUAGGAAGGCUAAAAUGGAUGAGAAGGGAGCAGGGGUGACUGCCAAUAUUGAACUGUCUUUUGGAGUUCAGUUUAAGUUGUAGAAACAAACCCAUGUCAGGCUGAAAGACAUUUGUGGAUUUUUUUAUGGACUUUGCUUACUACUCAGGCUUUGCUUUGAAUUUUUGUCCAGCAACCGGUUUGGGGUUAUGGAUUCUGCAGAGGAGAAAGGCACUCGAACUACUUCUGCAAAGCUAUGGUCUUGCAUCCUCUUUCUGAAUCCUAAUUCGUGACGGCAAAAAUAAUGUAAAUACUUAAGUGUGGCCUCACGGUAGAUAUUCCAGUACCUAAAUGAGAGACUACUUCCUCCAACACGCUUGUUUAUAGGCAGAUGUGCUUCUUAAUGAUACUUUGUUAAUUAAUCCAAAUUUUUAUCAGUUGUUCUAAAAUAAUUACUUCUCAAGUCUGUACUUGCAACUUAAUAUUCUGUUUCGAAUGCACAUUUCAGUCCUUGUUCUGAGAUUGCACUGUUGCUGCUUCUCACCAAGAAAAUGUGUCCUGUCAGCGUCCUGAAAUCCGUUUGGUUUUUAAAGUUGUUCCUUCCCAAGAGAACGUUUUGCCUUCUGUGCUGUGGCACAAAGCGGGGGGCUGGCUGGGCACACAGGCGUGCCAGCUCAGGACCGGCACCCGCUUCCUUAUAAGCUUAUAAAAAGCUUAGAAAAUUCAGUACAAAAGCAGUACUUAUUUCUUACAAUGAAACAGAUUUGGUCCUUAGUAACAUGUUUAAUGAACUUAGUUUUGUUAUGACAUCUAUUCUCUAUUUGAAAUGACAUCUUUCCUCUAGCCCCCUCUUGUACCCCCGACAGUGCUUUGCACUGCUGCACUGAUACAUUUCAAUUGAGCAACAGGCAGUACUGCACUUUCCCAUAUUAAUUAUUCACUCUUAAAAAAUAAGGAAAAACGGGCUUAAGGAAAGUCAAUAAGAAAUGUACACUAUUGCCACUAUAAAACAAAUUUAAUACUAUAUCAAAACUGCCAAGUCAAAGCACUCACAUACUCAAGUGGUCCAUUUCAGGUAGGAUGUACGGAGUAAAUAGCUCUCAAUUCUCUCAUUUCAAAUACAGCAGAGGUAGAGUUUCACACCCAAAGAACGUACCUGUUGCAAACUUCUAGUAAAAAGUCACUGACAGUGUUUUCAUGCCUGUUACAGAAGUCUUUCUGGAAAUGGUUUUUCAUCCAGUCCUCAAUGUUACACACCUUGACUCUCUCCGAGUACCAGCAGAUGGAUAAGUACUUUAAAGCAGGUCCCAGGAGAAAAUUGUUCUUCUUUAGUUCCGCUGGAGAAUGAAAGUUCAACAAACACCACAGUGAAGGAUCCUGAAACACUUCUAGCAACUGCUGACAUGUUUCUGCUAAACUUUUCCUACUAUUUUUGUCCAGAAAAGAAAACAGAUGUAAAAGGCAUUCCCGAUUCAGCUGGGUUAUAUGCAUAGUGAGUUAGAAAGAAGAUCGUCGCUGGCCUCCUGGAGCAAACGGCACUGCUGGAGGGGGUUCCGGAGCACCAGGAGCCUGUUGUACAUAUAUGGUUGUGGAAUGGUGUUUAUUUUUGGCAAACAACUGGUGCAGACACUAGGAACAGAGGAAAGAAACAUGCAUGCAACCAACUGUUGUUGUUUCUACAAGGGAAUGGAAUGGGCAUGUAGAAUAGCAGCACUUGGCUGUCAAGAAACGCUUCCUUAAAAGGGAUUUCUUUCCUUUUAGGCACUCCUGAAGUUUUGUGAGGUUCUUGUGCAGUGUUAAUGAACUGGGGGCCGGGGACAGGGCGGCGGGUGUAGCCACAGCUGCAAGGAAUAGCUCUGCCGGCCUCUCAGGUUUGGAGCGUUGGGCGUUCUGAGCAGAAGUUUGUCUUUGCAGUGUAAAACGGUUUUAGCCUUGAUUUGUUCACUGAUUUUUCUAAGGUUGCACUUCAGUUUCAUGCUCAGGGACUGUUACAUUGGAUAAUGACCGCUCACAAACAGGUUGUGAAAUGAGCUGAAGGCUCCCUGGCUGUUUUAAAGCGCACACACACACACACACACACACACAGAGCCUGCAGCUUCAACGUACAAGCCUCAGGCUUCUGGGCAGCUUCCUGUACAGUUAUUUGAACAAACACCGCUAGCUAUUUACCCACCUUUUGCGUGAGGGAAGUAAUGGUACACAGGAAGACACGCAUGGAACAGCAGGUCUAUGUUUGGCUGCUCGGAGGCGUGUGCUUUUAAGAGAUGUCUUCUAUUAACUUGAGUUUCACAAGUUUUCUUGUGCUGUUUAGUGUGUGGUUUAGCUCGUGACUGUAGCCUUGGAACUUUUGGUGGGGAAAGAAUAUAUGGAACUGCUUUACAAAUAGAAGUGUUUGUUUUCCAGUAAAGGAAGAAAGUGUAGCUGUAAGUCCCUCCUGGAAGAAAAAUAAAGCUACAGCAAAGGGCAGGCUGGAAUUAAACCAAUCAACAGCCCUGCAACUUCCACAUCUGUGAACUGAACAUGCUCAAGAUAGUAUAUGCCCAUCUAUCUGCUGUUAACACAGGAAAAUAAUACAUUCAACUAAUUAGUAGAUAUUAACAGCAAAACAGCCCUGCAGCAAUUUUUGAAGUGGCUUGCACGUUUUUAGUAGCUGGGCGAUUUUAUGAACCUACGUAUUUUAAUUGGGUUUUUUUCAAUACAUGACAGGGUUGAGGGAGACCAAAAGUUCACCUUUUGCUUCUUACCCUGAGAAUGCAGUUUGAAAAUCAACUCUGAAAAACAAGACUCGAAAUCCAUUUGCAGUCUGCAACAAUUAUUUUAGCUUCUCAUCUGGGCUUGAGUAAUGUGUAUGCAGUGACUCAAAAAACCAGCAAUUGCAGAUCUCUUUAAUUCUUCAGAGUUAGUAAUUUUCAGUUAUGUACAGUAAGCUGUGCUUAACAAUUGCCAGUCUUUUUGGUUUCAUAUCCUUUGUCAUUUAAUAUUUUCCUUGAAACAAGGAGGUUCCUGCUCCCCACCGGUGGGCAGUGGCAUCAGUACUUCAUGAAGCCAGGAAAGGGUCAGGGAUGGCAGAUGAUUUCACGUACCAGGUAAGCCAGUCACUGGAAAACAGCAGUUACACGGUGUGCCAGCAGCUGUUCUUCUGUGUUCUCAUAUUGGUAUUUUUCAGCUCUUACUCUGUCCCUUCAUCCUUCUCAGAACUCACCUUCAUUUUUGAGCAGUUUUAAACAGUCGAGACUGAUCAGAGUGGUAAGAAACACGGGAAUAUUAUUUGUAAGAAACCAAAGUUACCAUUGCUAGGAUGGACUCAAACCACACAGGGGACACACGCCAGAAUCUGAUGUAAAAAUGGGUGACAAGGCCUUUAAAACUGGACGGCAGGUCCUCUUUGGGUGUAGGUACUAAGUUUUGGUAGAGGUGCCAAAUAGUGGGAACACUUCUCUUGGCUGUAUUUUGUUGUCCCGAGAACAAGUUAAAAUAGUUUACUAUCUGUGUUUGACAGAUUUACACUAAUGAUAUUCUGCACAACUGUAGAAGGACAAGAGGAGUUUCAUUUUCUAAGGAAAGGAGACACUUUAAUGGCACAUUUUCCAUAAACACACUGUGUGAAUGAGAUAUAAUUCACAUUCAACCUGGAAAUGCUCCAGAAACACGCAAGAUGAGCACAGUCAGUAAUCCUCACUGAAAAUUACACACUAGCUUUUAAUGGUAAACAAUUACAACUAUGGCACUACAGUACUUGAGGAUAUCCUAAAGCACAUUGGAAUCAAUCUUCAAGGUGCUGAUUACCUCAUCAGUAAGACACAAGACACAUCAGUAAUGAAACAUUAUUGGGGAAACUUUUGACCACCACGUGUUACGCUCUCCACUGAUUUAGCAAAAUCCUUACAAAUGGCCUCCUGCUUUUGAUACAAGUCCACUGCCCCUGUCUGGAAGUUUCAAACUCUCCCCCACUGACAUCUGUCACCAUCUGGAAAGCACCUUCUGACCAGACCCCGAGGAGGAGCUCUGCCUGCACGUGCCUUACAGUUCCGCACACUGCUGCACUGAGCUCACUGAACAGUAUUCUCUGAGAGCUGGACAUCCUGCCGUUCUGUUUGACCUAAAUCCCAUCUCCAGUUGUAUACGUGGCUGAACAAUCACUAACAAAAGGACAACCUUUGAUCAGACGGAUUUUGGUGAAAAAUACGCAAGUCUCUGAACUGCAGAGAGCAGUUGUUGCUUGCAGAGCAGUCACAAGCAAGAAAAAAAUUCUUGCCAGUUAGUGUGUACUAUGAUCAGCAGUAAGUAGAAAAGAAACAUUUGGCUUAAAUGAAAUGAGAUAUCCCACCCCCCUCCCCCACGCUAGUAGAUAAAUAUAGGAUAUACAAGUAAGGUUAAAAAUGUAAUACUAGGCCAGGUGCAGUAUAUGUUACUGGUUCAGUGCUCAGUUACGUUUUUCUUUUUUUACUUUUUUUUCUUCUUUUUAACUUUUUUUUGACACCACACUGAAUAGAAUACAGCGGAUAAGCAAAGUU